rfam:Astyanax mexicanus Tnplaced_Scaffold3175, whole genome shotgun sequence.
GUAUUUCAUUAUUGUAAGUCGCUUUGGACAAAAGCGUCUGCCAAAUGAAAUGUA